GAUGAACGCUGGCGGCGUGCCUAAUACAUGCAAGUCGAGCGAACAGACGAGGCUCUUGCUCCUCUUACAUUAGCGGCGGACGGGUUAGUAACACGUUGAUAACCUACCUAUAAGACUGUGAUCACUUCGGGAAACCGGAGCUAAUACCGGAUAAUAUAUUGAACCGCAUGGUUCAAUAGUGAAAGACGGUUUUGCUGUCACUUAUAGCUUGUUCCGCGCCGCAUUAGCUAGUUGGUAAGGUAACGGCUUACCAAGGCAACGAUGCGUAGCCGACCUGAGAGGGUGAUCGGCCACACUGGAACUGAGACACGGUCCAGACUCCUACGGGAGGCAGAAGUAGGGAAUCUUCCGCAAUGGGCGAAAGCCUGACGGAGCAACGCCGCGUGAGUGAUGAAGGUCUUCGGAUCGUAAAACGCUGUUAUUAGGGAAGAACAAAUGUGUAAGGAACGAUGCACGUCUUGACGGUACCUAAUCAGAAAGCCACGGCUAACUACGUG
rnacentral:rRNA from 1 species